AGUUACUUCUAAUCCUGAUGGAGCUAUCUUAUGCUGGCUGGGGCAAGGGUAAUCCCCCAAGAUGCCUUGGGCGAAGUCUUUCUUUUAAAAACGAUUUCAGUGAUCACAGGUGUCACUACAUCUCCCACAGAGCCCUUCAGCAUGAUUACAGCCAUCGUAGCCUGAGCACAGUUCCCUGAAAUCUGUUCAGCUGGAUGUGUGGUUUGGGAGAGAUGAAGUCUCAGGAUUUCUGAAUUCUACUUUAAGAUGGAGAGUAGAUUGAGAAGUAUUAAAAGGGACAACGUGUUGCUCUCCAGUGAUAAGAAAGGAAAGAAACAAGAUAAGUCAUAUAAGCUCUCUCUAAGCCUUUUUCCUGGAGAUGUUAGCCAAAAUGCCACCAAAAUGAUCACCAACAAGUGCAAAAAUGAACAAUCUUCAGGGAUCAAGUCUAAGCCAGAGAUUAGAGAAGGCAUCCUCCCAGAAUGCUCCCAAAGUAGCUAUUCCUACUCCGGUUCCUCCUGAAGAGCAUAUUUCUGCUUGGACAGAAUACCUAAAAACUGCCUGAAAUUCAAGUUAGCAUGAAAUGAUUUCAAAGAAGACAAAACAACUGCAACAAGAGCUCCCAACAACCAUGCUCCAAAAUGCUGUGGGUGCCAAUAUUAUUUAUCAGCAGAAGAGGUCUUACUCUGGGUGCUCAUAGUGCCCCCAGCUUCUGAGUAUGGGCUACUGCUUGGACUGACAUGAUGUCUGUUGCUGUUGUGAACUGGUAUUCUAUGGUUGUGCCUAUGCCAAUAUUGGAACAAAUGUUAAGGAAGAAAAUUGACUGCUUCUGACAUCAGAACUCCUAGUAAGUAAGCCUUUUAAUACAUCACUUUGUAUUUCUAAGUAACUUUAACUUUGUUUCUAUCAACUUACUCUUUAAGAUAGACAUACUGUAACAAAAUCCCAUUCACUUCUGUGUUGAUUUUACAUUCAACACGUGAAUAUUCGGGAAGCUUCAUCAACUCUUUUCCUCCAUCAUCUGUAUAGGAGCAUUACUCUUUGUACUUAUUCCUCUCUUUCUCUCUCUCUUUUUUUUUUUUUUUUUUUUUUUUUUUCCCCUGAUGAUUUUCUGGUCCUGCAUUAAAUGAAUAUCUGAUUUAAUUUUAUGUUAUCACAUUUACCCAGUCCAGAAUAUUAUAAUCUGUGCUAUAAAAGAAAAAAUCUAAAAGUAUUCUGGUUUCCUGAUAUCUCCUUGAAUUGUUUUUCCAUUAUCUAUGUGCUAUGAUGGUAGCAUAAAGAUUAUUUAUAGCAUAACUUCUGAUCCUUUUACUGGUCAAUGUUCUCCACAGCUGUGACAUUAAAUAUAUACUAUUAGCUUUAUUGAACUCAAGCUUAAUAUUGCUCAUUUAUUUUCAUUAAAUUACAUUUUCCAUUUCCAUGCCAAAUUAUAUAAGAGAUCAAAAUAUUUCAAGAUCUGGCCACGAUAUGCCUG
rnacentral:lncRNA from 1 species